rnacentral:rRNA from 1 species
ACAGCAGUAGCCGCGGGAAAACGGAGGGGGCUAGCGUUGUUCGGAAUUACUGGGCGUAAAGCGCACGUAGGCGGCUUGGUAAGUUAGAGGUGAAAGCCUGGAGCUCAACUCCAGAAUUGCCUUUAAGACUGCCGAGCUAGCAGGUGAGAGAGGUAAGUGGAAUUCCGAGUGUAGAGGUGAAAUUCGUAGAUAUUCGGAAGAACACCAGUGGCGAAGGCGGCUUACUGGCUCAUACUGGACGCCGAGGUGCGAAAGCGUGGGGAGCAAACAGGAUUAGAUACCCCAGUAGUCCCUGUCUCUUAUAC